UACGGAAGGUCCGGGCGUUAUCCGGAUUUAUUGGGUUUAAAGGGAGCGUAGGCCGGGGAUUAAGCGUGUUGUGAAAUGUAGAUGCUCAACAUCUGCACUGCAGCGCGAACUGGUUUCCUUGAGUACGCACAAAGUGGGCGGAAUUCGUGGUGUAGCGGUGAAAUGCUUAGAUAUCACGAAGAACUCCGAUUGCGAAGGCAGCUCACUGGAGCGCAACUGACGCUGAAGCUCGAAAGUGCGGGUAUCGAACAGG
rnacentral:rRNA from 1 species